rnacentral:rRNA from 1 species
GACGAACGCUGGCGGCGUGCUUAACACAUGCAAGUCGAACGGAAAGGCCCUGCUUUUGUGGCUUGCUCGAUUGGCGAACGGGUGAGUAACACGUGAGUAACCUGCCCUUGACUUUGUGAUAACUUCAGGAAACUGGGGCGAAUACCGGGUAGGAGCUCCUGCUGCACGGGGUUGUUUGGAAAGUUUCGGCGGUUCUGGAUGGACUCGCGGGUUAUCCGCUUUUUUGUGGGGUAGUGGCUUACCAAGGCUUCGACGGGUAGGCGGCCUGAGAGAGUGAACGGGCACAUUGGGACUGCGAUAGGCAGCAGACUGGUACGGGCCGCAGUAGUCGGAAGUAUUACGCAACGGGCGGAAGCCUGAUGCGGCAACGCCGCGUGCGGGAUGCCGGCCUACGGGUUGUAAACAGCUUUCGAAUGUGCUGAAGCGUGAGUGACGGUAAUGGGUCAAGAAGCACCGGCUAACUACGUG